AAUGGGCAAGAAUGAUGAGACAAUUAGAUGAGUGAGAGGUAUACCUCUUUGAGCAAAACUCACGAUGCUUAUUGAUAUUCUGACUUUAUUGCCCAUA
rnacentral:snoRNA from 1 species